rnacentral:lncRNA from 1 species
AAAAAUCUGAUUACUAGAGCUUUAUCUCUUCUCUCUCUUAGAUUCAUACAACAACCAUUAAAUACCAUUAGGUUCUUGAAUAAUAGGUAUUUUCAAGCUAUUGAAAGGUGUAAUUUAAGACUAGUUAAGGAGGACAACUUUUACAUUGAAGAAUCCAAGUUUUAGCAAGCCGUAGUUAUGUCCAGCAAGGUAAGCUACUGCAAUUUUCUCCUUCUUGUGCUUGAGUUAAUUAGGACAGUCGAAAUGUUAGUGAGUUGGAAAUUGUUACUUUUAGGUGGUAAAUAUUGGGAGGAUGUUAUGGUGAUUAGUGCAUGUUGGGACUACCAUGGUGGGGAGUCCUCUUUAAAUUAAGCUAUGAGCUUGUUUUAGCACAUUAAAAGUAAUGUUAGCUCUUCAAGUGCUGGUGAUCAGAAACCAUGAUUCAUAUUGCUUCUAUUACACUAUUAUGUUCAAAGAUUAUUUUAUGUAUGUUAUGAUAAGGGAUGUGAUUGGAUGAACGGGGAAGUUAUGGAGACGUUAAAGAACUUAAAUAUUGCAGGGAGUUUUGGGGAGGACCUAAUACGAAGGUUGUACAGUAUAUAGAUGCGAUUAAUGGGAUAGGGAAGGAAAGAGAACACUCAGUAGAUAGAUUGCAGCUUACUGCUUCGUUAUUAUUUGGGUGUGAUCAAGUGGCUCAAAUUGAUUGAUUAGCUACUAAUACUAGUCUUACAACUUACUUUAUUGUAGAUCAGUGAUCUGAAGAGAAGGAGCUUAAGUCAAUACUUUUUGAAUUGUAUAGCAAGGUAUGUAAGGCUAUUUGAUUUCUUAUUUCUUUGGCAUGAAUCCAAAACUUGCAUUACAAAAAGUAAGCUUUCUAAGUGCCCUUGGUAGUGACUGAUCCAUAGUUGCAGUUCCUACUCUAAUAUGAGUUUGUUACUAAAUGUGCGUGUUUACUCUAUCAAGUGUUAGCAUGCAAGGUUUAAACUUGUUUCAUUGUCAAAUUACCCAUGGCAUGUAUCCCCGUUACAUAAGUCAAAGUGAUCGUAGACUACACAUGGUACAAUCUGCCUAUAUCAUGCCAACUUGCUUCCAUUGUUUAUAGAUAUGUCAUCUUGUCACAUGUUCAUAUGUUCCCUUCUUUGUUAUUACUCACAUUGUGUUAGACUAUAAUGUUACCUCACAGGAUCACUACUAGCUCAAUUGUACGUUUAUAUGUACUUACUUGGAAUAUGUCUCCGUCCUUAAGUUGAAUCUGCCCACAUUCCCCCUUGGUUCCACAUUCAUGAACACCUUGUAUUUGUAUCAUAUGAAGUUCAAAUCUCUUGGUUGAAUGUCAAAUUGUCUUCACUAGAUGUGCUUUGAUUUGAGAUAUCAAAAUGCUUACCGAGUCAUAUAGGCUCCUAAGUACUACGUUCAAGUCACAUUUGCUUCCCAUGUCAUUAUUAAUAUCGUAAGUUCAUAUUCAUAUGUCUUCUACUACUGGUCUGUAGAUCCAAAUCUAAACCAGGAUUAUGACCACCAAAACAACAAUCACAAACAAGUUAUGAACAUCAAAAUAACAAUAUCAAAAGAGUUACGAUUAUCUAAAGAACAAUCCCAAAAGAGUUAUGAACUGAUAAACAACAAUCUCAAAGAUGAAAGAAUCUAAGUGAAGUAAUCAAUAUGAUUAUGAGUGACAGCUCAGGGGCGAAAGCUUAGCAUGGGCCGAUCCCGAUUGGUAUAACAGGGUGGCAACCCAGGGGCAAAAACCUAGCAUGGGCCGAUCCCAAUUGGUAUGGAAGGGUGACAGCUCAGGGGGCGCAAGCCUAGCAUGGGUCAUCCUCUUCUACCGUGAUCAGCUGGUCAUUUGUAUCAUAUGUUGUAUAAAGAUUAUAAAAAGUACAGAAAUUUAAAGAAAAGAAUGUAACAUGCACGAUUCCACAAGUACAAAGCAAAGGUGGUCUCUAAUCCUUAUCUAUUGGUAUUUGGUUUCACUUGAGCUCAUGUUAAUUAUGCCUUACAUAUUCAGUACAUUCUUUCGAACUGACGUCCCUUAUUGGGGACGUUGCAUUUCAUGUUGCAGGUACAAGUACUCAACUAGUGGAUCUUUCCAAUAGAAGCACAUUAUACUCAGCGGAUGUUGGUGAGCUCCAGGUCGAUUCGGGGCUUUGCCGAGUCUUUACUAUGCGUAUUUUCAUAUGGUACCAUCAUGGAUUCCAGAAGAGGCUUUGUAGACAUUGUAAAGCUACCAUCUGUAUUCAUAGUUUCACUUAUCACAUAUAGCGGUUCAGCUAGUCAAAAUGUGUUGCAUAUGAAGCUUCUCAUCAGUAAUCUGCAUAGUAGUGUACUUUCUCAUCAUAGAUUACUUGUAAAGCAUGUGUUCAUAAGGUAUUAUUCCGCCUCACCUAGGGUUGAGGUGUGAAAAAAGUGUUGGAAAGAGUUUUCAAAAGCGGAAUGCACAAAAGUGCCAAAAUAUAUUUAAGUUUAAAGCACAAGGGCAAUUAAAGCACGAGCUUUAGCGAAGAAAAACGUUAUAAAGAAAAACAAAACUGUAAACGUGUUUGGCACCACUCACUGAUAUAACCAUUUGAUGCAACUUUCACACUUUCAAGAAAUCUAAUUUACAAAAUGCGAGGACGGGGUAUUUUUUAAAAACAAAAUGAGCAUAUAUUUUUUUCGAUGACAAGGGAAACUCGCAGCCGCUACUCUUUUGGGUGUGCACAGGGUAAAACCCCACUCCUAUGCAAUAGCUCGCAAACCACAUAGGAGAGGUAACCCGCACUAGGAAAGCCUGGUACGACGAGCUCGACUCAGAAGGCAAAUCCCUUGCUUACGCUGACAAGCGGUUUCGAACUUGAGACCUCCAACAUGGAAGUCCCAAGCUCAAACCACUGGGCCACCCUUACAAAAUGAGCAUAUUUUGAAUAAAAUCAAAGCUCAUUUAUUGAACUACAUCAGGAAAAAAUGUGCAUCAUGAUGUGACCAUUUAAGCUAAAGACAAGACAUUCUACACAACUUGCCACAUUCAACAAUGGACCCUCACUAGACAAGCGAGGGGAAGGGGGGAGAUCUCCAAAGUCCCCACAAAAUGGCCAUUAGGCUACAACAAUUGGGAGAUUAUGCCCAAAGAAUAUAAAAGAAUAGAAACUGGAAAUACUUGUGAAACAAAUCGAUCAACCACCACUACUUUUAAGUUUGCACUUAAGAUUAAUCAACACAAUAAACUCAUACAAGCUCUUGCUCUUUGGACCUAACAUGUGGUGUCAACAUGCUGCUCUGUCAAUCCUUUACGAAAUUCCACCAUAUGACUCAUAAAUUUAAUGCCACGAUAGUUCAUACAACUUCAAAUAUCUCCUCUGUUCUUAUAAAAUAUAAAUCAAGUUACUCUAUCACUUCCUGGUACAACAUUGAAAAUGCUUGGUUAGUAAUCCUACUCCAACUUUUCCGAGCAACUCACAAACCUCUAUAGAGACACAAUUGGACCAGAAUUUUCUAGUUCUCAUAUUUUUCAAUGCAUCUUUUACCUCUGUGGCCUAAUUUUAUGAGUGCGGCUAAAAGCUUAUAUUGUGUACAAAUAUAUAAAGAUCCAAAAUGUUAUAAUCGUUGCUCGAGUUGAAAAUUGAUCAAAAUAGCAUCUCUCCAUUUAUCUCAUUAUGUACACUUGUUUAAGUCCUUACGCUUCUUCUCUCUUAACCAUGAUAGUUUAAACAUGUCAUUCUCUCAUUCUUGUGUCCUUAACAUUUGGUAAAAUCCAUCUAAUGUUUUUCCCUAGAUUUAUACUAAUAACCUUCUUACAAUUAAUUUUUCUCUUGGCUCUCUUAUACUAUUCAACGUCUUCCUCUUUUUCGUCUGAUAACUUCCUAUAACACUUUCUUUAGCUCUAUUAACUCUUAGGGCUCGUUUGGUGUGAAGGAUAAUACCAAAUAGUCGUGGGAUUAAAUUACAAUACCAAUUAAUUUGUUGUUUGGUUGGCAAGUCCGGGAUGACUUAUCCCGGGAUUAAUAAUUACUACGGGAUAAGUUAUCCCUCCCCUUGGGUGGUAUAGUAAUACCGGGAUAACUUAUCCUGGGAUAAACUAAGUAAAUCACAAAAAUGUCUCUUUCAACCCUUUUGUUAUAUCACUUUUUAC